AGAUGGUGCCUAUGCUGUUGGUCUACAGGCUGUAUUUUAUAUAGCAGGGUUUGGUACAAUCUUUCUCAACCAGACCUGGAAGAGAAGUUGUAACAUGGCUGCUGCUCUGCAAGCUCACAUCCACUAUCCAGGCUGAAGCCAGAAGAAGUGGGAAGAGAAAAACCAAAGGACAGUGCCCUCUGUAAACCACUUUUAAAAAACGUUUCUCAGCAGCUACUCUUUAGAGGUAUGAUGGAUCUCCCCACAAAGUCUGGUUCAGGUGUCAAGACCUACACACCAAGAAACGAUGAGAAGAAUUAUCAUUCACAUGAGACUUUCUGGGGCAAGCAGAGUGGCUACCAAACAGGUCUUAAAAUGGCUUGAGAAAUCCAGGUAAGGAGAUUGGCUUGAAAUUGUUAUGGUG
rnacentral:lncRNA from 1 species